GUAAAUCCCUCCUUCGAUAGUUAUUUUCAUCUAUAAUAUAUCGAAGACUCUGAUAGUAAUUAAGUUGAGCUUUUUGAUAGUUAUUUCCAUUGUAAUCGCAUAGAUUCUAAUUGUAAGUCAUAUAUUCUCAGCAAUUAGAGGAUUUUUUUUCUUUGAUUCUCUCUCUCAAAUCAAUUGAUCAUACGUCGCUCAAGUCAAUGUCCCAUCUGUUCUUGAAGACAUCAACCAGAG
rnacentral:misc_RNA from 1 species